rnacentral:tRNA from 1 species
CCUCCUUAAACGAAAUUCCUGUACUUUUGGUAAGUGCUCACACGCAUUGUUUGAUUAUUUUUGGUUAGCAGUGAAACACGGUAUGCCGACCGGGCUGCUACGACCCGUCGGAGAUAAUUGGGUCUGUGGCUCAGUUGGUUAGAGCGCACCCCUGAUAAGGGUGAGGUCGGUGGUUCAAAUCCACCCAGACCCACCAAUUGCCCGCAUACGGGGCUAUAGCUCAGCUGGGAGAGCGCCUGCCUUGCACGCAGGAGGUCAGCGGUUCGAUCCCGCUUAGCUCCACCAAUUUCACUGUUAAUGAGAAGCUAGCGAUAAGCAUUACUGUUUAUCACUGGUUUUUUGUGCCAGAGCUCUUUAAAAAGGUAAUUGUUGAAUACUGAAAUAUUUUUUCAAGGCCGAUGUGUAUUCUUACAUAUCUGUCCGGCGAAAAUUGUUACUAAUUACUAUGAAAAUAGUAAGUCGCAACAAAUCUUGCACGCUUGUGCUAUAUGGUCAAGCGAGUAAGCGCAUACGGUGGAUGCCUAA